rnacentral:sRNA from 1 species
AACAAACACCUAAACGUAUGUAGCCUAGUCAAACCUUACAAGAAACCGAAAACUUUCAACAACGGAUCUCUUGGUUCUCGCAUCGAUGAAGAGCGCAGCGAAAUGCGAUACCUAGUGUGAAUUGCAGCCAUCGUGAAUCAUCGAGUUCUUGAACGCACAUUGCGCCCCUUGGUAUUCCAGGGGGCAUGCCUGUUUGAGCGUCGUUUCCUUCUUGCGCAAGCAGAGUUGGCGGGGGCAGCGAUGCCGCCGCUGAAAAGGAGCGAUUGCGGACGCGAGCGAACUAAAGUGGUUGCGCUUGGCCGCCGAACUUAUACACUAAGCUCGACCUCAAAUCAGGUAGGAAUACCCGCUGAACUUAAGCAUAUCAAUAAGCGGAGGAAAAGAAACCAACAGGGAUUGCCUCAGUAGCGGCGAGUGAAGCGGCAAGAGCUCAGAUUUGAAAUCGUGUUUCGGCACGAGUUGUAAAUUGCAGGUUGGAGUCUUUGUGGAGGCGUGUGUCUAAGUCCCUUGGAACAGGGCGCCAUUGAGGGUGAGAGCCCCGUGAGACGCGCGCGGAAGCUUUAAGGCCCUUCUGACGAGUCGAGUUGUUUGGGAAUGCAGCUCUAAGUGGGUGGUAAAUUCCAUCUAAGGCUAAAUAUUGGCGAGAGACCGAUAGCGAACAAGUACUGUGAAGGAAAGAUGAAAAGCACUUUGAAAAGAGAGUGAAACAGCACGUGAAAUUGUUGAAAGGGAAGGGUAUUGGGCUCGACAUGGGAUUUGCGCACCGCUGCUCCUUGUGGGCGGCGCUCUGGGCUUUUCCUGGGCCAGCAUCGGUUUCCGCUGCAGGAGAAGGGGUGCCGGAAUGUGGCUCUUCGGAGUGUUAUAGCCGGCGCCAGAUGCUGCGUGUGGGGACCGAGGACUGCGGCUUCUGUCUCGGAUGCUGGCACAACG